GCCUAACACAUGCAAGUCGAACGAGACCUUCGGGUCUAGUGGCGCACGGGUGCGUAACGCGUGGGAACCUGCCUUUAGGUUCGGGAUAACUCCUCGAAAGGGGUGCUAAUACCGGAUGAUGUCUUCGGACCAAAGAUUUAUCGCCUUUAGAUGGGCCCGCGUUGGAUUAGCUUGUUGGUGAGGUAAAGGCUCACCAAGGCGACGAUCCAUAGCUGGUCUUAGAGGAUGAUCAGCCACACUGGGACUGAGACACGGCCCAGACUCCUACGGGAGGCAGCAGUGGGGAAUAUUGGACAAUGGGCGAAAGCCUGAUCCAGCAAUGCCGCGUGAGUGAUGAAGGCCUUAGGGUUGUAAAGCUCUUUUACCCGGGAUGAUAAUGACAGUACCGGGAGAAUAAGCCCCGGCUAACUCCGUGCCAGCAGCCGCGGUAAU
rnacentral:rRNA from 1 species